GAUGAACGCUGGCGGCGUGCCUAAUACAUGCAAGUCGAGCGAAUGGAUUAAGAGCUUGCUCUUAUGAAGUUAGCGGCGGACGGGUGAGUAACACGUGGGUAACCUGCCCAUAAGACUGGGAUAACUCCGGGAAACCGGGGCUAAUACCGAAUAACAUUUUGAACCGCAUGGUUCGAAAUUGAAAGGCGGCUUCGGCUGUCACUUAUGGAUGGACCCGCGUCGCAUUAGCUAGUUGGUGAGGUAACGGCUCACCAAGGCAACGAUGCGUAGCCGACCUGAGAGGGUGAGCGGCCACACUGGGACUGAGACACGGCCCAGAAUCCUACGGGAGGCAGCAGUAGGGAAUCUUCCGCAAUGGACGAAAGUCUGACGGAGCAACGCCGCGUGAGUGAUGAAGGCUUUCGGGUCGUAAAACUCUGUUGUUAGGGAAGAACAAGUGCUAGUUGAAUAAGCUGGCACCUUGACGGUACCUAACCAGAAAGCCACGGCUAACUACGUGCCAGCCGCCGCGGUAA
rnacentral:rRNA from 1 species